rnacentral:rRNA from 1 species
GACGAACGCUGGCGGCGUGCUUAACACAUGCAAGUCGAACGGAAAGGCCCUGCUUGCAGGGUACUCGAGUGGCGAACGGGGGAGUAACACGUGGGUGUUCUGCCCUCCACUCCGGGAUAAGCCUGGGAAACUGGGUCGAAUACCGGAUAGAAGCCAUUCUUAGGGUGAGGGUGGGAAGGUUUUUUCGGUGUAGGAUGAGCUCGCGGCCUCUCAGCUUGUUGGUGGGGUAAUGGCCUACCAAGGCGGCGGCGGGUAGCCGGCCUGAGAGGGUGGACGGCCACAUUGGGACUGAGAUACGGCCCAGACUCCUACGGGGGGCAGCAGUGGGGAAUAUUGCACAAUGGGCGCAAGCCUGAUGCAGCGACGCCGCGUGGGGGAUGACGGCCUUCGGGUUGUAAACUCCUUUCGCUAGGGACGAAGCUCUUUGUGACGGUACCUAGAUAAGAAGCACCGGCUAACUACGUG